rnacentral:rRNA from 1 species
UUUUGGGAGCUUAUUGGCUUCAGAGUCAUUGGAACUCCGAAGUUAAGCGAGUUUGGGCUAGAGCAAUCCCAGGAUGGGUAACCUAUUGGGAAGUUGCUCAUGAGUUCCCAGAAA